rnacentral:tRNA from 1 species
GCCGGUAUAGCUCAGCUGGUAGAGCACCUGAUUUGUAAUCAGGUCGUCAAGAACAAAGCAAGACCACCUGAGACCCCUAGGGAAUCCUUAAACCAGCA